rnacentral:rRNA from 1 species
GACGUAGGGCGCGAGCGUUGUCCGGAUUUAUUGGGCGUAAAGAGCUCGUAGGCGGCUUGUCGCGUCGACCGUGAAAACUUGGGGCUCAACCCCAAGCCUGCGGUCGAUACGGGCAGGCUAGAGUUCGGUAGGGGAGACUGGAAUUCCUGGUGUAGCGGUGAAAUGCGCAGAGAUCAGCAAGAAUACCCGUGGCGAAGGCGGCCCCCUGGGCCGGUACUGACGCUGAUGCGCGAAAGCGUGGGGAGCAAACAGG